GAGGCGGACGAGAAGAUGCCACUGUCGUCGCCGCCUCAGGGCGACCCCGGGGAGUCCAGCCCGUCCAGGAGCUCCAAGAAGCACACCCCUUUCCACCUCUGGCGCUCCAAGAAGAAGCAGCAGCCUCCGCCGUCGGACUGUGGGGUGUUCGUUCCGCACCCGCCGUCUGAUUGUGGGGUGUUCGUUCCGCACCCGCCCCCGGCGCCCCUCGGCGAGGCCAGAGCUUUGGACAUAGUGGAUGAAGGACAGGUGGCUCAAGAACACCAUGAGUUUACAUCACACGGUGGGGAAUCCCAGUUCUUUCACUCCACCAGUGAGGUGCCUGGUCCUCUACCUGCAGAGUCCGGAUCACUUAAAAAGUCCAGAGCACAACCACCAGAAGAGAACAAAAGGAAGCCAGUGUUGGGGAAACUUGGCAAUCUGUUCGCCGCAGGAAGGAGAAGGAACACCAGAAACGGGUUAGAGAGUCCCACCAGCUCCCAAGCCAAAGCAGCCUCUCCCAAAGACGCAACCUCCUCCCAGCUCCCUGCGCGAGAGGAUGAGAAGAGGGCGUCCCCCAGCAGCCCAGCAAAGCCAGCCGACAGGUGCGGGGAGGGCUUCCCCCAGGAGCAGCCCCAGGAGCCUGAGGGCGAGCGCGCUGAGCCCUGUGUCCAGGGAGCCCCCCGGGACGCCCACCUGUCGCCUUGCCCGAGCAGCCGUGCAGCGGCGGCGGGGCUCCUGUGCCCUAGAAAUGAAUCACCUCAAUUAGAACCUGUGCACUCAGAGGGAGAGCCCUUCCCAGAUGCCACGGCCGCUGCCAAGCAGCUGCAUUCCUCUCUAGAGAAUUCUCCCAGGCGAGAGGACGCAGAGACGCUGGUCCGCAGUCCCGGGGAGGACGCAUUGCCUGGCGCUGCUGGCGCACCGGAGGCGGCCCAGGGUGCGGGGGGAGUUCCAGGGUCGCCCACCGCGGUGCGGGCCGCCGACAGAGACUCGCGUGUGGGUGCCGAGGGAGGCUCCCUGGAGCGCCUAGACGCGUGCAGCCAGCCCCCGGAGGGCGCGUCUGCUCCGCCAGGUGAGCCUCCCGCCGAAGGUGCGGAGAACAGGGCCGGAGGACAGGGGUGCCGGCCGGGCGAGCGCGCCCAUCCCGCUAAAGUGUUAACUUUGGACAUCUACUUGAGCAAGACCGAGGGGGCGCAGGUGGGCGAGCCGGUCGUCAUCGCUCCGGGGACAGAAGAUUGGGACGAUCAGGACGACAUGGAUAAGAGGGCGAGUGGCCGCAGGCCUGGGAGGCGGAGGAAGUCGCAGAAAUCCACCGACUCUCCGAGCCCAGACACGGUGCUGCCGGACGGCGCGGCCAGGGACGACGCGGUGUUCGACUACGAGGUGGCGCCAAACGCGGCCUCGGAGAACAUCUCCGCGGAAAAGAAAGUGAAAUCUCCCCGGGCGGCCCCGGACGGGGGCGCGGCCAGUUCGGAGUCCAAGUCCAGCCCUGGCUCCAAAGGGCAGCCCCGGGGGGAGCCGGAAAGGGGCAAGCAGCCUCUGCCGGCCACGUCCCCCACCAAAAGGAGGGGGAAGAUCCGCGUCCCCGAAGCUGUGCUCAUUCCGUCCGCUGGCAGCCCGCGGGCUCCCGCCAAGGAGUCCCCGCCCAGGCGGGCGCCCGCUCCCGACUCGAGCCCCGCUGCCAAGGCUGCCGCGGGGGAGAACGGGGAGGAGGCGCCCCGAGUCAUCCCCCGCGAGCUCACCGUCCGGAGCAGCUCGCUGCUGCCGGAGAUCAAGCCGGAGCACAAGAGGGGGCCGCUCCCCAACCACUUCGACGGCCGGGGAGAGGGAAGUCGGAGCAAAGAGCUGGGCAGAUCGUCUGGAGGCCCUGACGCCGAGGGCUUGAAGCCCAGGAACCAUUUCGGGGCGGGCAGGUCGACGGUGACCACUAAAGUGACCCUCCCUGCCAAGCCUAAAAAUGUGGAACUAAAUCUUAAAUCUCCUAAGAAUCUUGACAGUUUGGGAAAUGAGCAUAGUCCAUUUAGCCAGCCAGUUCAUAAAGGAAACACUGCCACCAAAAUCUCCUUAUUUGAAAACAAACGGGCAAACAGUAGCCCAAGACACGCUGACAUUCGAGGCACAAGGAACACCCUUGCCUCUAAUAAAACAUUUGUCGGGAGGGCGAAGCUGAAUUUAGCCAAAAAACCCAAAGAAAUGGAGCAACCUGAAAAGAAAGUAAUGCCAGGUAGUCACCACAAUGGUGUUCUGGUGAAGGAAACCUCUGCAGAAACCAAAGUUAUUCUCUCUGAAGAGGAGAUUCUCCCAGCAACCGGGGGUCCUGGAGGAAGAGGAAUGGAAGGGGAGCCCACCGAGGAUCAAGCUCUUGGUCCUCAGCUUAAGCAUGGUGAUCAAGUAGAUGCUGGCUGCCCUUCUGAACCAGUGGCUACUGCUCUGAUUCCUGUCAAGGACCACAAACUCUUAGGAGAGGACGACUCAAAGGCUGCUGACAGCAAAAGACUUGUACUUGAAAAUAGGACUGAGACUUCACAAAACAUUCCCUCCAUUCUUGAUACCAGAGACUCACCAACAGCCACACCAAAACCACAGGAUACUUUUUCUGACUCACAGCCCCCAGCUGAGUCAUCUAAUCAGCCUCAUUCACUGCCUGCACCCAUUCCUGUGGAUGUGCCCAAAGACGCGUGUGCUGAAGCUCCCGUGAGCAGUUUUCCGUGCGCUGAUCUAAAAGUAUCAGAAAACCACAGUGGAUGUAUCUUGCCUGUGUCUCAUCUGGACCAUGAAAAAAUGCCCCCCUCCAAACUUGGAGGAAGAAGAGAUGGAGGAGGAGGAGGAGGAGAAGGAGGAGGAGAAGUCAGCCUUCCCUUGUCCACAGAGCACAGCUCAGAAGUUGUGGGAACUGAGAGUCCAUCCAAGGUCCUGGUCCAGGUCAGGUCCUUCGUCCUUCCCGUGGAGAGCACCCAGGAUGUAAGCUCCCAGAUCAUCUCAGAUAGCUCCGAAGUGAGAGAAGUGCAGUUGCCAAGUUGUCACAAUAAUGAACUUGAAGUGGUUUCCGUUGCAAGUUGUGCUCCCCAGAAAGAGGAAGUACUGGGCAAUAAGAGCACAUCACCCAAACACAUUCAUUGCAAAGAGGAACAUGCAGCAAAAUCUGGCCCACAAGUCCUGCCGCUAGAAUCAGAGAAAACUCUGCCUAUCCAGGCUCAGAGUGAGGGCGACAGAGCACUCCUGGUGGCUGAAUCCAGCCUCACGCACUCCCCUGGUGGCAGAAACCAUUUAGAAACUCCUCAGAGGCCAGAUCAAAGUGUUGUGAACGGCCAGGACAGCCCUGCCAGUCGUUUGAAUGUCUCUGGUGGUAGUGAUGAUAGUGUACUUGACUCUUCUUCUGAUAUGGAAAAAUUCACGGAAAUUAUCAAAAAGAUGGACAGCACUGUGUGUGUGCCUCAGAAGAAGAAGAAAGCCAGGGUGCCAAACUCUCCUACCCCUCACUUUGUCAUGCCUCCUAUUCAUGAGGACCACUUAGAAAAGGUGCUUGAUCCCAACGUGUUUACCUUUGGUUUGGGAAAGAAAAAGGGAAGCCAGCCAGAAAUGUCACCGGCUUUACAGCUGAUGCAGAACGUAGACCCAAAGUCCGCACCGAGGUCCAAACGCAUGUCCACCGAACAGAGUAUCCUCUUCAAGUCCUUGCACGCGCACACGAACGGGAAAGAUGGACCUCUGGCAAACCCAGAAGUGAACGACAAGGAGAACAGGGAGGUCACAAAUGGUGGAGUGAAGAGAUCUAGGCUAGAAAAAAGUGCCCUUUUCUCAAGCAUAUUGUCUUCUUUACCACAAGACAAAAUCUUUUCUCCCUCCGUAACGUCAGUCAAUGCUAUGACCACAACUUUCAGCUCUUCUCAGAACACUUCUCUUUCUCGGUCUCCUGUGUCACAGCCUGUGGCUGAGGGGGCCCCACCCUGCUCUUCAGAAAAAGAACAGCCAGAUCUUCUGCCCAACAACUUCUUAAAGGUCUUCAAUUUCGACUCGUCAAACACAUCUCAUUCAGGCUUGAAAAGUCCAAGCUACAUGGAAAAAUACCUGCAAAAAGAGGAAAGUAAAAAAGAUCUGGAUUCACGAAGCAACCUACACCUGCCAGAAACGAAAUUGUCUGAAUUUUCAAAACCAAAGAACAGCGAUGAUGUGGAAAAGGUGAAUCACGUUGAAAGUGCUCUUACAUCGAACUUGCCGAGCUAUGGGAACAGUGACACAGACUUCAUGGGUCUUUUCAAAUCCAGACGGUUUGACCCAAACAUUUCUUUUUCUGGAAUGCCGUUAUCAGAUCCAACAACGCUUAGAGGAAGUGUCCAAAAUAAAAUCAAUCCCCGACCUGGAAAGGUGGUGAUCUACAGUGAGCCGGAGGUCUCUGAGGCGUGCAUUGAAGUCUUCAGUGACACCGAGGACUGUAGCUCGUGGCGCCUCUCGCCGGUGGUGCUUGUGAAAGUUGUUAGAGGCUGUUGGAUUUUGUACGAGAAACCAAAUUUUGAAGGGCACUCCAUCCCCUUAGAAGAAGGAGAAUUGGAACUUGCUGGUCUCUGGGGUAUAGAUGAUAUUUUGGAAAGAAAAGAGGAGGAAGAGUCUGCUAAACCUGUGGUGAUUGGUUCAAUCAGACAUGUGGUCCAGGAUUACAGAGUUAGUCACAUUGACUUAUUUACUGAACGAGAAGGGCUAGGAGUCGCCAGUUCCUACUUUGAUGACACUGGAGAGAUGCAGGGGUUUGGUGUAAUGCAGAAAACCUGUUCCAUGAAAGUGCACUGGGGCACAUGGCUGAUUUAUGAAGAACCGGGAUUUCUGGGUGUCCCGUUUAUCCUGGAGCCCGGGGAAUACCCUGACUUGUCCUUCUGGAACACAGAAGUGGCCUACAUUGGAUCCAUGCGGCCUCUGAAAAUGGGUGGUCGUAAAGUUGAAUUCCCUGUAGAUCCAAAGGUAGUUAUUUAUGAAAAGCCUUUCUUUGAGGGAAAACGGAUGGAACUGGAAACAGAAAUGUAUAAUUUUAUCACGGAAGGAGGUGAAGCAGAGGAAACCGAUGGAGAUGCCAGUUUGCCGCUGACGUCGGUGGGGUCCAUGAAAGUUCUCAGGGGCAUUUGGGUUGCUUAUGAAAAGUCUGGAUUUACAGGUCAUCAGUACUUGCUUGAAGAAGGAGAAUACAAGGACUGGAAAGAUUGGGGAGGUUACGAUGGAGAACUUCAGUCUUUACGACCUAUAUUAGGUGAUUUUUCAAAUGCUCACAUGAUAAUGUACAGUGAAAAAAACUUUGGAUCCAAAGGUUCCAGUAUUGAUGUAUUGGGAAUUGUUGCUAAUUUAAUGGAGACCGGAUAUGGAGUGAAGACACAGUCUAUUAAUGUACUGAGUGGAGUAUGGGUAGCCUAUGAAAAUCCUGACUUCACAGGAGAACAGUAUAUACUGGAUAAAGGCUUUUACACCAGUUUUGAGGACUGGGGAGGAAAAAAUUGCAAGAUCUCUUCUGUUCAACCCAUAUGUCUGGAUUCUUUCAGUGGGCCAAGGAGACGAAAUCAGAUUCACUUGUUUUCGGAACCACAGUUUCAAGGUCACAGUCGAUGCUUUGAAGAAACAACAAGUCAAGUUGAUGAUUCGUUUUCUACCAAGUCUUGCAGAGUUUUAGGAGGCAGCUGGGUUGCGUACGAUGGAGAAAACUUCUCUGGUAACCAGUACGUGCUGGAAGAAGGCCACUACCCGUGUCUCUCUGCAAUGGGAUGCCUGCCGGGAGCAAGUGUGAAGUCUCUUCGUUUUAUAGAUGUUGAAUUUUCUGAGCCAACAAUUAUUCUUUUUGAAAGAGAAGACUUCAAAGGAAAAAAGAUUGAGCUUAAUGCAGAAGCAGUCAAUCUCCGAUCCCUGGGAUUCAACACGCAGAUACGCUCAGUUCAGGUGAUCGGUGGCAUAUGGGUUACUUAUGAAUAUGGCAAUUAUAGGGGUCGGCAAUUCCUACUGUCGCCAGCAGAAGUACCUAAUUGGUAUGAAUUCAGUGGCUGUCGCCAAAUAGGGUCUCUACGGCCUUUUAAUCAGAAACGUAUUUAUUUCAGACUUCGAAACAAGGCAACAGGGUUAUUCAUGUCAACCAACGGGAACUUAGAGGACCUGAAGCUUCUCAGAAUACAGGUCAUGGAGGACGUCGGCGCUGACGAUCAGAUCUGGAUUUAUCAAGAAGGAUGCAUCAAAUGCAGGAUAGCAGAAGACUGCUGCCUGACGAUUGUGGGGAGCCUGGUCACUUCUGGCUCCAAGCUGGGCCUGGCCCUGGACCAGAGCACCGAGAGUCAGUUCUGGAGCAUGAAAUCCGACGGUAGAAUCUACAGCAAGCUGAAGCCAAAUUUAGUUUUAGAUAUCAAAGGGGGUGCACAGUAUGAUCAAAACCACAUUAUCCUCAACACCGCCAGCAAAGAGAAGUUAACACAAGUGUGGGAAGCCAUGGUCCUAUAACCCUGGACAACGCAGGAGGACUACUACUGGAGGUCUUCCAGCUGCCUUAUUUAAAACGAAGAGGCCUGCGGACAGGAGCCAAGAGGAAAGCGGAUGUGCUCCUCAGCAACUCUAACUUCACUCAUGAAUCACAGUGCCAGGAACGGGACAACUGUCUCAUCUCUUCAAAAGACCAAUAGUUUUAAACCAAUAAUUUGUUCUUCCUUCACUUCUUGCCUGUCAGUUCCUUUCAGCAGCUGCUUAAACAGGUUGCCUCAUUAGCAGCGUUGGGGUGUUUUUUAGGAAAAUCUUAUCUCAAGACGUUAAGACUGUACAUUUUACAUGAUUUCCAAAGACAGUGACAGGAGAGAACAGGAACAAAUUCACCGACUUGGUGGACCUACAUCGCCUUACACUUUAAAGGGAAGGGUAAAGCUUAAGUCUGUAAGGUAGAAACUGUUUAGACCUUAGAAGAAAUAAUGUAUUAGGCCUAUAGUUUUGGUCUUUGACCUUCUGUUUUCUGAAAUCAUUAAUUAUGCUGUAUAGCCAAUUGGGAAAUUAUAUAUUCAGACAUAUGUUAAGGAAUUGAAUGAGUAUAGACAAAACACUUGAAUUAAUAUUAAAAACUAGAAAAUUUAAAAGAUUUCAUGUCCAUCUCUGCUUACAUUUAUUAGCAGGAUUUGGAUUAUUUUAAUUCACCAUGGGCUGCCCUAGAUUUUCACACGAGUGUUGUUUGAAGCUUUUCUUACAGAUGCUGCUAGAACAGUAUACCAUGACCUAAUGUAUUAGCCCAUCCCCACUCAUCUAUAACUAGUUCUGAAGCAAUGUUAUGCAAUCCUUUGCUAAACUCAGGUAUUUUAGCCCAAUUCCCUGCCCUCCCAUCCAGCUGCACUGGCAGGCCUGCGCGGGGCUACCUUACCGGUGAUGUUGCACAGCCAUGCUCUGAGGACAGCUCAGGUCUCAGGGUACUGCCGCCCGUGGUCACUUUGGGUGUGGAAGGCUCAGGAGGAUGACUAGCAAUUCUCCAAAAGGAAAGGACAGGAGGCCUUCAGUGAUGCUUGUUGGUCAAAUCUUAGAACUCUGAAAACCCUAAAAUUCAGCAAGCACUUCAAUGAAAGUUCAAAAUGUUUAACUGCUGACGAUACACUGCCAGAUGGUGCUGUUCAUACUGUGGAUACUCAUUUUGAACAAAACUGCUAAAACAGUCCUUGAACACCCUCUUCCUCUUUCUGUCGUCCUCAGCACUGAAUGCUGGUGCUCUUGUCACAGGAAGAACAAACCUGGUUUCCUUUUCAGGUUUCCCAUUCUGAAGUGUUGAUUCUCUCUGGAGUCUGUGAAAGGCUUCUGGAACUUCAGAAAAAGGAAAGGUUUUUUCAAUAACUGGCUGAAUCUGUAAAACACAAGAAAAGGCUGACUGGUGGGUAAGAACAGCGACAUCCAUCAAGGCAGGUAAUGUCUGUAAUCAGUUUCUUCACUAAGACAGACCCAGUCUCUCUCCGGCCUGUCUGUGCCUCUGGGGAGGAGCUCUCUGCCAGGCCAGGCCUGUGACUGCUGUCCCUGCUCCCAUCAGCUCCUCCUCUCUGUGAGGUAGCCCAGCUGCAUCCUCACGCAACCUAACUUCUGCUCAGGGCUGGUCAUGUCACUCUCCUACUCAGAACCCUUCAACAGCUCCCAAAACUGCAUUCAAAGGCCACCACCAUCCAAACCUCAGCCUUUAUGCAGACUCCACACUUCACCAAAAUGGUCUGCUUGUCAUUGCCUGACAUGGCCAUGAUGAAAACAACAAGUGAGCUGAGGAUCUCCAUGAUACCCCACUGACCUGCCCAACUACACUUGGUCAGAUGUGAGCUAUAGUGAGGCAGCCAGGACCAUGUGCCUCCUCCCCUCGUGUGCCCACAACUGCUGGGAUGGCUGACUUCUCUCCCCUGAGCCCGCCCUCAACGAUGCCUCAGCGUGAGUCAGCUGCUACCAAGGCAUGGAGCUGGCAAGUAUAAUGGAACUCCCCUGCUACUCGAGCUCAGGCACUUAAUAGCUGUGUUAUUUAGGUCAAGCUACUUCUUUCAGACCGUUCCCUGGCCUGCCGAAUGGUGAUGCCACCACCUAGCGCAACAACCCUACAGGGUUGUUGGAAGGAUUAAAGGAGAAUGUAUGUAAAAUGCCUGAUACAUAAAAAGUAUACAAUAAAUGUUCCCCUAGUGCUAAAGUAAAGCUUGCUGAGGAAAGACUGGGGCAAUGUCAAAUGAGAGUUAAGACUACAAAGAAGGACAAAACCAAGCUGUUGUCUAGGCAGAGCUUCACAGCAGGUGUGUCACGAAUGGCUUACGGGUUUGGUCAAGUGACCCUACAGUUUACUGUCUAACCUGGAACAACUGUGAGAGUGAAAGGAGUCACCAUUAAUAAUUAUCCCAAGACCACAGACGCAAACAGACCCAAGUUUACCCUAGAAUAGGUGGAAUGGGACAUGGAUGCCCGUCAGCCCUUGGGAUAGGGCAGAGCCUGGGCUGGAGAGUCUCCAGGUAGUAGCCCUUGGGAUAGGGCAGAGCCUGGGCUGGAGAGUCUCCAGGUAGUUUGCUCCCGGAGGAGCCUCAAUGUGCUCUUCAAAUACUUUCAUAUUCUAUGUGUGUCAGGGCAUGAAAGAGGUCAGGAAACACUGGUCUAGGCAACUAAGUUAAAAAAAAAAAAAGGCAAAAAAUACAGUUUGAAGCACUGGGAUUAUCCCAAGCUUACAGGGGGCCCAGUUAAUUACACUCACAGACCAGCUCAUGUACUUCCUGCUAAGGUCUAGCCUUACGGACUACAAUUAAAACAUUCUGGUAAUUGUUUAGGGGUUUAAAGAAGGAACAGCAGUAGUCACCACCGUCAUGUCUAUAACUCUUUACAGGGGGUUGCCCUGUAAAGUGAAACUUCUGUUCUGCAACAGCAGAACUUUUACUUUUUUUCCAGGCCAUUACAGGAGAGUAAACUGAAGCAGGCAGGAGAGCCCAGAGCAUUACAAUGAGGCUCUAACUGCACAUUCUAGAAAGACAUCAGAAACUACUUAAAAGGUUUUCACAUGAGAUUACCACUAUCAUCUUUCAAGCAGGGAGAAAGGGAAAAUGAAGAGAGCUAUGCCUAUUUUACUCUCAGAGGCCAACUCUGAAGGUUAAAUUGUAAGGGGUCUCACUGGAAUACAAACUGUAAAACCGUUUAGAAAACUUAAACUUAUAUUUUAAAGCUCUUGGAAAGCCUGGGUUUUGUGAAAAAGGAAAGAAGAGACAAAUCAUAGUACGUUUCCUUUCUCUCACAGAGCACCCUGUGCACACUUUCUGGCUGCAUUUGGAUCCAGUGAAAAUGUGCUGUGUUCCCUGUGUUGGGUGUUCACCUCUAUCACCCACACACGGUUCCUAAGAAUUGAGUGCUGGUCUCUUUUAUCACAGCUCUUCGCUACUACUUCUAAGUGUGUAGUUAGUACACAGAAUCCGAGAGACCAAAGUCCUAAAGUUCACUCCCAGAAAGGUCCCAAAUUAAUUUCUAGAAUAAAAAAAAGUUAAGAUAAUUAUCAAGCCAGUCAUCUCACACAUAUGGGUCAGUGAUGGAGGGCUCGACACAGUGACCCACAACCUUUUACUGUAAAGGAACUUUCUACUGCCUUUUUCCUGGGCCUAAAGUAUUUUGUCUAAUUAAUGAAAUAGAAUUUAUCUUCCUUUUUUGUAUCCACCUUCUCACUAAUUCAGAUUUUAAACCAAUGAUUACCACCUUCUCACUAAUUCAGAUUUUAAACCAAUGAUUACCAACAGUGUAUAAGGUGGAAUUAUGUAAGGUUCUGUCACCAUUGUGAGGACAAGGCUAUCACGUUAAGUAAGAACAAACACAAAAGCCACCAGUCCUGUAACCAAGGCUGCGCGUCUCCAGGCCCACCACACACUGGAUGUGUUCAGGUGGGGGACAGAGCUCCUUACAGCCCUGGUAACAGUGGCCCUGUUAACAGUCAGGCUGACUAAUCAAGGGUCAGAAACUCCCAGAAUGCCAUUAAGAGCUAGAGUUUCUGAUCCACAUGGGAUAUGCAGUGUUGGGACAAUCAAUACAAAUCCAGGAAAGGCCUGAUGGUUCUAUGAGUCUUUGUAGUCUCACUGAAGUAAGAGUACAAUUUCCUUCAGGUUUUUGAAAUUCAAAAAUUGCCCAUGGACUUCUAAAGGUCUGAAAGCACCAACUGGGAAUCACUGGCAUAUCCCAAUCCUACGAACAUAAAAACAGCCAGCUGCAGACUUACUAACAUUUUCACCUUCCCAUACAAGAGACCUUAUGUGUUAAGACUGGUGAAGAUAGAGAGCAUCAGAUAUAGGCAAUAAAAAAGCAGAAGGUAUAUCAGAUGGUAACAAUAAAGGCUAACACUUAACAGGACCUUUCAUUGUGCCAAGUCCUUCACAUGGAUGAUCUCAUUUAACCCUUACAACAUGAGGUAAGGCAUAUAUAUAUCCUACUAGCCCCGUGUUACAGGUGAAGACAUCAAGGUCUAGUGACAAAGAUUUGCAAGGGGUCACACAGCUACUAAGGAGGCUAAAAUUUGAACACAGUCAGGGUGUGACUCCAGAGCCCAUGCUUGUCCCCAAGAUGAGGGAAACUGGCUGGGUGGAAAUCAAUUUCCAGGAGCAAGAGGCACUUGCUUGUUCUCGUCAACCAGGACUUGAAUCCUUACCUUUAGUGUCUUAGAGCCCAUGGUGACGCCCGUCUGCAACAUGCCAUCUGCUACGCCCAACCGGUCCAUGUUCAGGAGAAAAGGAGUCACCAAAGUCACGUAUGUGGCUCCUGACCAUUUCUUGAGUAAAUUUAGAGCCCACGUUUCAGUGGACCCACCAACAUUAUCAAGGAUAAAAUCAAACCUGGAAAGGAAGAAGCAAUCAGAAGAUCCUUGUCAGUCUUUACCCAGGGCUCCAACCCCCCUUCAAUCCCAUCACCAGUAGCCAUAGGGUUUCUUUCAGUGACAGUCACAAACUCAGCUGUGCUGUGCUAUCCAGCCGAGGGGUGGCUGCUUUGACAAAGGAGUAAAGGGAAUAGCCACUUACCGAGUCUCUGGCUUUUCUCCUAGAUAAGUCAAACGUGACUGAUUUUUUGUGUCAUAAAAUCAAAUUUUCUAAUACUUUAAGAAUGACUUAAACAAGUGGUUGUUAACACAGGGUGAUUUUAGCUCCCAGGGGACAUAUUAGGCAAUGUCUAGAGACAUUUUUAGUUGUCACAACCCUAUAAGGUGGUGGGAAGAGGCUAAUGACAUCUAAAGGCCAAGGAUGAUAAACACCCUACUGUGCACAUAACAGCCCCUCACAACAAAAAAUUAUCCAGUCCCAAAGGUCAACUGUUGAGAAACCCCGACUCAAGCUCUAUAGAAAACUGCAAAGCUAUCCAUGCGAUAAAAGUAAAAGUCUUCUUUAGUGCACAGAAGCACUGGAAUGACAAAUAUGUAAGGUUUUCACCUACAAAAACAAUUUGCUUUAAUCCCUCUAGAGUUAGAACUGCUUAUAGAAGCAUCCUCUUUCCCUGGAAUGUUCUACUUUUUUUUGUUGUUGUUUCAUGCAUAGCAUCGGGACAAUGUAUAAAGAGCAAUCAACAGCCUGCUCUCAGUCUUCAAUUCUGCUCUAACAUGCCCAGAAAAUCCAGGCAUGAUGGAAUCCACAGGAACUAACAGAUACUCAACUCUUUACGUCUAAUCUAAAGCUGCUAUAAUCACUACAUUCUCCUUAAAGGGGAUAAAACUCAAUAAAGCUUUUAAAUAUUUGUUAAAACAAAAAGAUCUAUUUAGAGACUGUAUGCUUAUACAUUAAGCAAAUUGAUAAAUUUCUUUUUGAUAAAUCCAUUUCUCUGCUAAAUUCAUAUACAUGAAAUCAAGCAUCAGAGCUACGAAAACCAGCUUCGACCAACUUUGUGCAUCUUUAAUCUUUUAUGGACUAAACUAAAGAAGGGCAAAUAAAAAUAGAAGGCUAUGUGUGCAAGAGAAUGACCUUACUAGAAGACUAUUCUUUUCGUUAAAGAGAAUAAAAAUUGUGAAUUUAAGUUUCUAAAGUUUCUGCUUUUAAUUUUCUACUCCCUUCCCAAAUUUUAAAUAAACAAAAAUGAUGAUACUUAUUUUAAAUAAAACUUAAGGGCAGACUGGUAUCAUAGAACAGGCACCACCUGAAAAAGAAGUCCUGAGACCAGGCUGUAGAUGCAGUUCUCCCAUCCAUGACUGAGUGGCAUGACCUUGAGCAUUCAAAACUUAUAUCCCCUCUACCUGAUUUUCUCAACCGUAACAUGAUAGAGUUGGACUGAAGAAUUCUGAAGCCCUUUCCUGCUAUAAGACUCUAAGAUUGAAAUCUAAAAAGCUGUGAUUUAGAAGGAGGAACAAAUUUAUUCUACGUAGAUUCAGAGGCCAAACUUCAGGUAUAAGUUAUAGAGAUGAAUUUUAACUAAAGCUGUCAAAAAAAAAAAAUUGGUCUACAUUUGUAAGCUGAUGAGAUCCCCCUACUGAAAAGGAGUAAACAGGAUAAGCGAUGUGGAGGAGCAAACUGUAGCACAGCUGUGGGGGCUGGUCUGAGUGUGCUACAGCCUUCCAUGUGUCAGGUUCCCUGUUCUCUGGUGACAUACUCCAGACAUGUGUAAAAGGUAAGGUAGAUGGAGGGCAAUGGGUUGGCCUUGGCCUCAGUCUCAUACUGCUUGCUAUUCCUAGAGGCAGCAGAAGGUAUGAGAGCAGCGGAAACUACCACUACCUAGAAACCAGAUCUCGAAGGCCCAGAGAGGCCUAGGUUCUGACACACAGGGUGGAAGGUAGUGGAUAAGAUCUCUGCAAGGGACAGUGUCAUCCCUCACACAUGCCAAGUGAGUUCAGCCACGGGGGCUUUAUAUUUGCUGUUGCCUCCAUCUGGAACAACUGCUCUGCUCCUAAGUUUCCCUCAAUAACUCAGUAAACAAAUAUUUUGGUUGUUGGUUUA